CGGGUGAGUAACGCGUAUGCACUGCUCUAACUGGGGCAUAGCCCGAAGAAAUCGGAUUAUUUCCCAUAUAUCAAUGAUCGCUGAUGAUUGAAUGAAAGCUCCGGCGGUUAGAGAUGGGCAUGCGGGUCAUUACUUGUGGUGAGGUAACGGCUCACCAAGGCUGCGAUGACUAGGGGGCCUGAGAGGGUGAUCCCCCACACUGGUACUGAGACACGGACCAGACUUCUACGGAAGGCAGCAGUGAGGAAUAUUGGGCAAUGGAGGCAACUCUGACCCAGCCAUGCCGCGUGCAGGAUGACGGCCCUAUGGGUUGUAAACUGCUUUUCUGAGAGAAGAAUCCCCCCGAAUUUUCGGGGGUUGCGGUAUCUCAGGAAUAAGCAUCGGCUAACUCCGUGCCAGCAGCCGCGGUAAUACGGAGGAUGCAGCGUUAUCCGGAUUCAUUGGGUUUAAAGGGUGCGUAGGCGGGAAAAAGUAAAAGUCAGUGGGUGGAAAAAGCCUUGCCAAGCUCAACUGUGGAACUGCCAUUGAUACUGCUUUUCUUGAGUUUGGGGUAUGGGAGGUAGGCGGAAUGUGUAAUGUAGCCGGUGAAAUGCUUAGAUAUUACACAGAACACCGAUUGCGAAGGCAGCUUACUAAACCGAUACUGACGCUGAUGCACGAAAGCGUGGGGAGCGAACAGGAUUAGAUACCCUGGUAGUCCACGCUGUAAACUAUGAUCACUCGCUGUUGGCAAUACAUCGUCAGCGGCUGAGCGAAAGCAUUAAGUGAUCCACCUGGGGAGUGCGGUCGCAAGAUUGAAACUCAAAGGAAUUGACGGGGGCCCGCACAAGCGGUGGAACAUGUGGUUUAAUUCGAUGAUACGCGAGGAACCUUACCUGGGCUUAAAUGUAGACUGCAUUUCCGGGAAACCGGAAUUUCCUUCGGGACCGUCUA
rnacentral:rRNA from 1 species